UGUAUGUCUAUGGGAGUGCAUGUACGUCUAUGUAGGUUUUGGAUUCCUCGAGAGAAGCAGGUGGAGAGUGGGGCUGUGAGACGGUGAGGCUGAUCAGAGCCUGGAGCAGAACAAACCACUAAGACAAUUGUUUAUGCAAAGGCUGUUUGGCUUGAGGGUGACAAACAGUUUGAAGGUGUCAUCCCAAAAAACUGGAUACAGGAAGAAAGAAAUGUUGUGCCAUGGCCAAAGAAAAGUGUGCACACUUCCACAAAAAGAAGAUGGACCCAGAGGAUGACUGGGAAACAUUCCCACUUGUGAAUAUAAAGAAGAUUCCAGACAAUGAGAAAGAUUGUGAAGAUUGUAACUACACCUCAUCAGCCCAGACUGACCAUGAGGGUUCCACCAUUGUGCCAGAAGAAAUCAGGAAGAGACAUGUAAAGAAGAGGACAUAUGAUGAGUUUGUUGAUGGUAAAUGUUUACAAUUUAAAAUAUGUUAUACAGUAUAUUGUUUCACUUGCAAAAAG